GUGGUGCUGGGCGAGGACAGCGCCCACGCACGACUGCAGGACCUGCUGCGCCACUACACGGCGCGCCCACUCAGCCCCUACGGGGAGAAGCUCAGCCAACCCCUAGCCCGCCAGACCCCAGAGCCUGCGGGGCUUUCCCCGAGGACUGAAGACUCAGACUUCAGAAGCAAAAGCCAGGACCCAAACUCCCUGCGAAAAUGGAGUCUGGCCCAAGCCUGGGCGCCACAGGAGGCCCAGCCGCUCAGGCCCAAGCCUCCUGUCCCUGCCAAGCCUGUGCUGCCGACCGAGGUUUACGCCAGUCCGGAGCCUCGCCCCCGCCCAGCUCUGCCGCCCAGGCCUGUGCCCCCCAUCUACCAGGAGCCAGAGGAGCCCAUCGCCUUCUAUGCCAUGGGCCGGGGCUGCCCUGCCGAGGCGUCUGGCCACGUCUAUGCCGAGCUGGAUGGGCUGGAUGGGCCAGAGGUGGGUGACCAGAACCCAGGCAGUCUGCAACUGUAUCCUGAGAACCCUGUGCUGGGACAAGGCCCCCCACUUCCCCAGCAACCUCCACCUGGCUGGAGGCACACCCUGCCCCCCAACCUUUCCAGACAAGUGCUUCAAGACAGAGGCCUGGCCUGGCUUCCCCUUGGGCCUUCUCAGUAAGUGGUGAGCCUGUGCUGGAGAGGAUGACUUGGGCCCUCAGGGGCAGAGACCUCCACACAUACCUGGGUUACCUCAGGAAGUAGAUAGGAGAAACCAUAUGCAAUCAAAGCCGAAAAGCACCUCAGUCCCGAUCUAUCACGAGGAUGGCAAAGAGGUGUCAUCUUGCCUGCCAACUCCAAUCCAUUGGUCAUGGCUGCCCAGAGUGCAGCACUGAAAAAUAUGUUAAGGUCACAUCUGAACUCAGCAGAAAAGAGCACUGUGAUUGAUUAGUGAUGUCUUCUCUGGGCAGGAGGGAGCGGGAGGAGGAGCAGCUCUUGUCUGCUCUUACUAACCAAGUCUAGCUCCCUCACCGUGCAGAUAAGGAAAUAAAGACAGAGAGGCACAGUGCCUUAGCCAAGGUCAAGAACCAGAGCCCAAGCUUCCUAGUUCCUUGGUUCAGUGCUGUGCUCCUUUCCCCACAUCCUCUAGCUCUUCUGCCUAGGGGCCAAAUUUCCUCAGGUAGCAAAUCUGCCUGCUUUCCAGUUCUACCAUGGGGCCCUUAGGGUUAGGUCCAGAACCCCAUUUGAGCCCCAUACCUUUGACAGCCUGCCCCCACCCCCACCCCAAGAAGCCUAGGGGUCGGAGGGGCCAAUGUGGUAUGUGCCUCCUCACAGGACCGUGUUACCAGCUCAUUCUGAGAGUCCCUGAGAAUCGCUGCCAGCGACCCUCUAAGAUGGUGAGACGUGUGCAAGGAGGCACUGCCCUAGUUUCUCCUCCUGGAGUCUAAUUUCCUCAGUCCUCUGGGCCUUGGAGUCUGGGCCCUGGUCCAAUGCUGCUGUUGUCUGAGGAGUGGUUUGGUGAGAACAGAUGUUAGAACUUGUUUGUUGAUUCUUGUCUGGCUAAUAAAUCUUCACCAACA
rnacentral:lncRNA from 1 species